rnacentral:sRNA from 12 species
CGCGCUCCACACAGAUUCAAAUCUGAGCAUGAGGCCAUCCAAUGGAGGAUGUAACACCAGUAGUUAAGUUGCUUGGGAUAUAGCAAAUGUUAACUACAUCAAUGGUGU